rnacentral:sRNA from 1 species
CUGAAUUUGAAACCCUUUGUUAAGA